GAAGUAAAGUCGUAACAAGGUCUCCGUUGGUGAACCAGCGGAGGGAUCAUUAACGAGUUACAAAACUCCCAACCCUAUGUGAACAUACUAUUGUUGCCUCGGCGGCGCCGCGAUAGCGGCCCGCCGGUGGACCUAAACGCUAAUUGUAACCACUGUAUCUCUGAAUGAUAACUGUAAUACGUUAAAACUUUCAACAACGGAUCUCUUGGUUCUGGCAUCGAUGAAGAACGCAGCGAAAUGCGAUAAGUAAUGUGAAUUGCAGAAUUCCGUGAAUCAUCGAAUCUUUGAACGCACAUUGCGCCCAUUAGUAUUCUAGUGGGCAUGCCUAUUCGAGCGUCAUUUCGACCCUUACGCCCUGUUGCGUAGUGUUGGGACUCUGCGUGUUACAGCGCAGUUCCUGAAAGCAAUUGGCGGAGCUAGAGCCCACUCUAGGCGAGUAAAUACCAUUCUCGCUUCUGUAGUGGCUUUGGCGGCUAGCCAGAAAACCCCUAUAUUUCUAGUGGUUGACCUCGGAUUAGGUGGAAUACCCGCUGAACUUAACAUAUCAUA
rnacentral:rRNA from 1 species